rnacentral:rRNA from 1 species
GAUGAACGCUGGCGGCGUGCCUAAUACAUGCAAGUCGAGCGAACAGAUAAGGAGCUUGCUCCUUUGACGUUAGCGGCGGACGGGUGAGUAACACGUGGGUAACCUACCUAUAAGACUGGGAUAACUUCGGGAAACCGGAGCUAAUACCGGAUAAUAUUUCGAACCGCAUGGUUCGAUAGUGAAAGAUGGUUUUGCUAUCACUUAUAGAUGGACCCGCGCCGUAUUAGCUAGUUGGUAAGGUAACGGCUUACCAAGGCGACGAUACGUAGCCGACCUGAGAGGGUGGUCGGCCACACUGGAACUGAGACACGGUCCAGACGCCUACGGGAGGCAGCAGUAGGGAAUCUUCCGCAAUGGGCGAAAGCCUGACGGAGCAACGCCGCGUGAGUGAUGAAGGUCUUCGGAUCGUAAAACUCUGUUAUUAGGGAAGAACAUACGUGUAAGUAACUGUGCACGUCUUGACGGUACAUAAUCAGAAAGCCACGGCUAACUACGUG